rnacentral:rRNA from 1 species
GACGAACGCUGGCGGCGUGCUUAACACAUGCAAGUCGAACGGAAAGGCCCCUUUGGGGGUACUCGAGUGGCGAACGGGUGAGUAACACGUGAGUAACCUGCCCUUGACUUCGGGAUAACUUCAGGAAACUGGGGCUAAUACCGGAUAGGAAUCCUUGCUGCAUGGUGGGGGUUGGAAAGCUUCGGCGGUUUUGGAUGGACUCGCGGCUUGUCAGCUUGUUGGUGGGGUAGUGGCUUACCAAGGCUUUGACGGGUAGCCGGCCUGAGAGGGCGACCGGCCACAUUGGGACUGAGAUACGGCCCAGACUCCUACGGGAGGCAGCAGUGGGGAAUAUUGCACAAUGGGCGGAAGCCUGAUGCAGCAACGCCGCGUGCGGGAUGACGGCCUUCGGGUUGUAAACCGCUUUCAGCAGGGGCGAAGCUUGUGGUGACGGUACCUGCAGAAGAAGCACCGGCUAACUACGUG